rnacentral:rRNA from 1 species
UACGAAGGGGGCUAGCGUUGUUCGGAAUUACUGGGCGUAAAGCGCGCGUAGGCGGAUACUUAAGUUAGGGGUGAAAUCCCAGAGCUCAACUCUGGAACUGCCUCUAAUACUGGGUAUCUCGAGUCCGGAAGAGGUGAGUGGAAUUCCGAGUGUAGAGGUGAAAUUCGUAGAUAUUCGGAGGAACACCAGUGGCGAAGGCGGCUCACUGGUCCGGUACUGACGCUGAGGUGCGAAAGCGUGGGGAGCAAACAGG